rnacentral:tRNA from 1 species
GGAGAGGUGCGUGAGUGGUUGAAACGAGUACUCUCGAAAAGUACCAGGGUCGCAAGAUCCUCGAGGGUUCGAAUCCCUCCCUCUCCGCCA